CAAUGGCUUGCAAGACCCCCAUCGUUGUGGCAUCCAUGUUGAUAUUGAUGCUCCUUGUGUCUUUUGACGAGGUUCAAGGGAAGUGUCGCGAGGAACGCAUCAAGCUCUCCUGUGAUAAUUGGGUCAAAUGUUUUGAGUGGUGUCGUCUCUUUGGUGGUACGAAAGGGUACUGUGAUAAAGGUUCAUGUGUGUGUGUGAAUUGCUUUGUGCAAUCAUCUGGCCACCAUUCUACAGAGGUUCCACCACCGAAUUCUGCCCAUCUUGAGUAGUUCAUUGUAAUUGUCGAAUUAUUGGUAAUUGGUUGUCCUAUAAAUAACUAAGUGCAUUGGUUAUGAUA